rnacentral:rRNA from 1 species
UACGUAGGGGGCGAGCGUUGUCCGGAAUUAUUGGGCGUAAAGAGCGUGUAGGCGGCUUGGUAAGUCUGCCGUGAAACCCCGGGGCUCAACCCCGGGCGUGCGGUGGAUACUGCCAGGCUAGAGGAUGGUAGAGGCGAGUGGAAUUCCCGGUGUAGCGGUGAAAUGCGUAGAGAUGUGGAGGAACACCAAUGGCGAAGGCAGCCUCCUGGGCCAACACUGACACUCAUGCACGAAAGCGUGGGGAGCAAACAGGAUUAGAAACCCGGGUAGU